rnacentral:tRNA from 1 species
GGAGGGCUCGCAUAGUGGCCUAGUGCGGCGGUCUUGAAAACCGCUAUGGGUUCAUCGCCCAUCGUGGGUUCGAAUCCCACGCCCUCCG